rnacentral:snoRNA from 1 species
AUAAAAUGAUGAUAACCUCUCAUGCGUGUCAUUUGAAUGUAGCUAAUGUAUUUCUGGCUUUUACCAGUUGUAGGUGUUUUGCUUACAGGUGGAAAGGCUAGAAAACUAGGCUGUAUAUAUGAUACAUUAUGGCAUCUGAUUAU